GUAGGUGGCAAGCGUUGUCCGGAAUUAUUGGGCGUAAAGCGCGCGCAGGUGGUUCUUUAAGUCUGAUGUGAAAGCCCCCGGCUCAACCGGGGAGGGUCAUUGGAAACUGGGGAACUUGAGUGCAGGAGAGGAAAGUGGAAUUCCACGUGUAGCGGUGAAAUGCGUAGAUAUGUGGAGGAACACCAGUGGCGAAGGCGACUUUCUGGCCUGUAACUGACACUGAGGCGCGAAAGCGUGGGGAGCAAACAGGGAUUAGGUACCCUGGUAGUCCACGCCGUAAACGAUGAGUGCUAAGUGUUGGGGGGGUUUCCCGCCCCUCAGUGCUGCAGCUAACGCAUUAAGCACUCCGCCUGGGGAUACGGUCGCAAGACUG
rnacentral:rRNA from 1 species